UACGUAGGGUGCGAGCGUUAAUCGGAAUUACUGGGCGUAAAGCGUGCGCAGGCGGCUUCGCAAGUCAGGCGUGAAAUCCCCGGGCUUAACCUGGGAAUGGCGUCUGAAACUACGGAGCUGGAGUGUGGCAGAGGGAGGUAGGAAUUCCACGUGUAGCGGUGAAAUGCGUAGAUAUGUGGAGGAAUACCGAUGGCGAAGGCAGCCUCCUGGGCCAACACUGACGCUCAUGCACGAAAGCGUGGGGAGCAAACAGG
rnacentral:rRNA from 1 species